UUCAUGCCGUCUGGAGACCCGUCACGACCUGCGUGACGCACCGAAGGAGCAAGGCCGCGCGCAGGCUGCCGCGGUCGAAUCUCUCAGGUAACGAGGACAGAGGGCGCGGC
rnacentral:ncRNA from 2 species